rnacentral:rRNA from 1 species
AAGCUCGUAGUUGAAUUUCGGGGUUAGUAGGUUGGUCAUGCCUCCGGUAUGUACUAAUCUCACUGAUUCCUCCUUCCUUAUAAACCGUAAUGCCAUUAAUUUGGUGUUGCGGGGAAUUUGGACUGUUACUUUGAAAAAAUUAGAGUGUUUAAAGCAGGCUAACGCUUGAAUACAUUAGCAUGGAAUAAUGAAAUAGGACGUUCGAUCUUAUUUUGUUGGUUUCUAGGAUUGACGUAAUGAUUAAUAGGGAUAGUUGGGGGCAUUAGUAUUCAAUUGUCAGAGGUGAAAUUCUUGGAUUUAUUGAAGACUAACUACUGCGAAAGCAUUUGCCAAGGGUGUUUUCAUUAAUCAAGAACGAAAGUUAGGGGAUCGAAGACGAUCAGAUACCGUCGUAGUCUUAACCAUAAACUAUGCCGACUAGGGAUCGGAUGAUGUUAAUUUUUUAAUGACUCAUUCGGCGCCUUACGGGAAACCAAAGUGUUUGGGUUCCGGGGGGAGUAUGGUCGCAAGGCUGAAACUUAAAGGAAUUGACGGAAGGGCACCACCAGGGGUGGAGCCUGCGGCUUAAUUUGACUCAACACGGGGAAACUCACCAGGUCCAGACAUAGUAAGGAUUGACAGAUUGAGAGCUCUUUCUUGAUUCUAUGGGUG